CGAAGAAAGCUUUAGUCUUGAAGAUUCAGUCUUGAACAAGUCUGGAUACAAUGUGGCAAAUCCGACGAUCGACGAUGAAGCCCAGCCUCAAGGCCGACGACGAAGCUAGCAGUCGACGUCGCCGCCUCCCGCCCUCCCCUACGAAUCUGCGAAGAAGCAGACAGACGACGACGACGCUGCCUCCUUCCCUCACCUGCGAAUCUGCAAAUCUGGGUUACUUCUGUAAAGGAAUUGAGUGGACAGAGUUGUCAGAAUUGUGGAGAUGAGAUUGAAAUUACACUUGAUGGGGAGCCAUUUGUUGCUUGCAAUGAAUGUGCAUUCCUUGUUUGUCGACCCUGUUAUGAGUAUGAAAGGAGGGAAGGCAAUCAAGCUUGUCCUCAGUGCAAAACUAGGUACAAGCGCUUAAAAGGGAGUCCUAGAGUUGAAGGAGAUGAAGAAGAGGAUGAUUUUGAUGAUCUUGACCAUGAGUUUGAUUAUAAUAGCAGUGUAAGAAGAGAUCAUCACCGCGUUGCUGAGGCAGCACUAGCUGCUCGCCUUAAUGUUGGUUAUGGUGGUAACGGUUCUGACCUGGGAUCAUGACACCAUUGGAAGCAAGGGUUGUGGUGGGAUCUGUUGAAUAAAAUUUAACGUAUGCAACCUAGGAAAUUAGGAAGUGCGUUUAACGUCAAAAUGGGGCUGAUGAUGAAAAGCACGGUCAAAAUGGGGCUAAUGAAGAAAGACCACGGGAAAGGACAAAAAUGCCCUUCAAUUUCACGGUGAUUUAACGCCAAUUUAGACGGUGGACUAAAAUUGUCCACCUUUAACAAAGUCAGGGUAAAAUGUGGUCAAAUUAAUAAAUCCGGACUAAAUAUGUCCAAUGCACAAUAAGUCUAGGACAAAAAAAGGAUUUUAGGUACACCGAAGGAAUAGCAAAACCUCAAACUCAAAUUUGAGCAAAAUUCAUAUAUCAUUAAAUGAAUCAGACCAUCAAAACCUCAAAAUUCAUCCCCUUCAUACACACUCACAGUCUUAUACGUAAAAAACAAUAGCUACUGCCUAUCAUAAUUUAGUAAAACAAAUUUCUCAAAAGUUCCAUCUGCCGCCUACCUUCACCAUCUCACAUAGCUACUGCUAACUGAUACACCAUACACAUAAAAUACACAUAUAACUGCACACAAGCUUGAAGCCUUGAAGUAAUCCAGCAAAACAGUAGAAAAGUAGAAAACUAUGUAGAAACUAGAAAAUAAGAAUGGAGGAAGUGAGGAACACUUACCGUCUCUGGUGGAGGCUGGUUCGGCGCAGGCGGUGGGCGAAGGCCGAAUGCGGAGGGGAGGCAGAGGGUAAGCGCGGUGGUCUGUGGGGCGUGGGCGAAGCCGCAGAGGCAGAGGAACCACAAUCAUGCUACUCAAUCACAUGGUCUUUGGCCAUUAAUUUAUUUGAUUGUUUAAAGAAAUUUUGAUUAAUUUAAAAAUCUAAUGCGCCAUGAAAAAUACUUCAGUU